rnacentral:tRNA from 1 species
GCGCGAGUAGCUCAACUGGAUAGAGCGUCGGUCUCCGAAGCCGAAGGUUGUGGGUUCAACUCCCGCCUCGCGCACCA